GACAGAGGAUGCAAACGUUGCUCGGAUUUACUGGGCGUAAAGCGCAUGUAGGUGGUUUGAUCAGUCGGAUGUGAAAGCCCGGGGCUCAACCCCGGAAGUGCACCCGAUACUGUCAGACUUGAGUCUUGAAGAGGAGAGCGGAAUUCCCGGUGUAGAGGUGAAAUUCGUAGAUAUCGGGAGGAACACCAGUGGCGAAGGCGGCUCUCUGGGCAAUGACUGACACUGAGAUGCGAAAGCGUGGGAAGCAAACAGG
rnacentral:rRNA from 1 species